UAGCAUUAUUUCAUUAUUGAUAACAGAUUUCUUAAGAUUUGUUUUAAAAACAACAGGAUCACUUAUUAACAUCAUUUCUGGAGGUAACAUAUUCCAAUAUGAGAUGGCUCCGUUUAUAAAUGUGAUUUUGAGUGCAUUAAUGGUUUGGUAACCUU